CCUACGGGAGGCAGCAGUGGGGAAUCUUAGACAAUGGGGGAAACCCUGAUCUAGCCAUGCCGCGUGAUCGAUGAAGGCCUUAGGGUUGUAAAGAUCUUUCAGAUGGGAAGAUAAUGACGGUACCAUCAGAAGAAGCCCCGGCUAACUCCGUGCCAGCAGCCGCGGUAAUACGGAGGGGGCUAGCGUUAUUCGGAAUUACUGGGCGUAAAGCGCACGUAGGCGGAUCAGAAAGUCAGAGGUGAAAUCCCAGGGCUCAACCUUGGAACUGCCUUUGAAACUCCUGGUCUUGAGGUCGAGAGAGGUGAGUGGAAUUCCGAGUGUAGAGGUGAAAUUCGUAGAUAUUCGGAGGAACACCGAGUGGCGAAGGCGGCUCACUGGCUCGAUACUGACGCUGAGGUGCGAAAGCGUGGGGAGCGAAACAGGAUUAGAUACCCUGGUAGUCCACGCCGUAAACGAUAGAAUGCCAGUCGUCGGGUAGNANNCUNUGUGCACACCUACGUAUANNUCNCGNGGAGACGCCGCGAGUAAACGUACGAAGUAAGUAGAGCGNGUAGAGUUGCGACGGCGACGACGAGGGAGGAGG
rnacentral:rRNA from 1 species